GGGCAGGCUCUGGUUCCUCAGGGGCAGCGUUGGGGUCCAGGAAGUCCGGGUGCUGCAGCUCCUUUAGAUAACAUUAUUCUAACAUGACUGCGUUGCCAUGAACUGUAAGUGGAGAUGGAGUUGUCGCACUUGAACUGAUGCAAAAUGACGCAGCGCAUCUCGCUGAAGGUCAUGCCUCCGAUGAUGAAGAUGAUGACUCGGGGACCUGUCUUCAUCUCUGUGGGGCCCUUGUUCUUAUGCCAGUUACCGUACCGGGCACUGCAAUGAGAGGGG